rnacentral:rRNA from 1 species
AGCUCCAAUAGCGUAUAUUAAUGUUGUUGCAGUUAAAAGCUCGUAGUUGGAUAUCUGGCCUUUCGUACUUGGCCCGCCCUUCGGGGUUGUUGUGCCGAGUGUCGUGGGUCUUUUUCCGGUUUGUGACCCCUUCGGGGGUUCACGGUCCGGAUCAUUUACUUUGAAAAAUCCGAGUGUUCAUAGCAGGCUUACGCCGUGAAGAUUGCAGCAUGGAAUAAUAACAUAAGACUUGGCGUCUUAUUUGUUGGUUCUGAGAGCUAAGUAAUGAUUGAUAGGGACAGUUGGGGGUGCUGCUAUAGACUGGCCAGAGGUGAAAUUCUAAGACUCAGUCUAGAGCAACUUAUGCGAAAGCAUUCACCAAGGAUGUCUUCU